AAUCCGUCGACUUUAUAAAUCGUGAGA
rnacentral:tRNA from 2 species